AUUGAACGCUGGCGGCAGGCUUAACACAUGCAAGUCGAGCGGGGGAAGGUAGCUUGCUACCGGACCUAGCGGCGGACGGGUGAGUAAUGCUUAGGAAUCUGCCUAUUAGUGGGGGACAACAUCUCGAAAGGGAUGCUAAUACCGCAUACGUCCUACGGGAGAAAGCAGGGGAUCACUUGUGACCUUGCGUUAAUAGAUGAGCCUAAGUCGGAUUAGCUUGUUGGUGGGGUAAAGGCUUACCAAGGCGACGAUCUGUAGCGGGUUUGAGAGGAUGAUCCGCCACACUGGGACUGAGACACGGCCCAGACUCCUACGGGAGGCAGCAGUGGGGAAUAUUGGACAAUGGGGGGAACCCUGAUCCAGCCAUGCCGCGUGUGUGAAGAAGGCCUUAUGGUUGUAAAGCACUUUAAGCGAGGAGGAGGCUCUUUUGGUUAAUACCCAAGAUGAGUGGACGUUACUCGCAGAAUAAGCACCGGCUAACUCUGUGCCAGCCGCCGCCGUAA
rnacentral:rRNA from 1 species